AGAGUUUGAUCCUGGCUCAGAACGAACGCUGGCGGCGUGCUUAACACAUGCAAGUCGAACGCGAAAUUUUUCUUCGGAAAGAAAGUAGAGUGGCGCACGGGUGAGUAACGCGUAAGUUAUCUACCUCGGCAUCUGGAAUAACUCACCGAAAGGUGUGCUAAUACCGGAUACGUUGAGUAAUCAAGAAAGGUGGCCUCUGAAUAUGCUACUGUGCUGAGAUGAGCUUGCGUACCAUUAGCUAGUUGGUAGGGUAAAGGCCUACCAAGGCGACGAUGGUUAGCGGGUCUGAGAGGAUGAUCCGCCACACUGGAACUGGAACACGGACCAGACUCCUACGGGAGGCAGCAGUGAGGAAUAUUGCGCAAUGGGGGCAACCCUGACGCAGCGACGCCGCGUGGAUGAUGAAGGCCUUCGGGUCGUAAAAUCCUGUCAAGUGGAAAGAAGUGCAUAGUGGUUAAUACCUGCUAUGUUUGACGGUACCACUGAAGGAAGCACCGGCUAACUCCGUGCCAGCAGCCGCGGUAAUACGGAGGGUGCAAGCGUUGUUCGGAAUUACUGGGCGUAAAGCGCGCGUAGGCGGUUUUACAAGUCAGAUGUGAAAGCCCAUUGCUCAACCAUGGACGUGCAUUUGAAACUGUAAGACUUGAGUAUUGGAGGGGGUGGUGGAAUUCCCGGUGUAGAGGUGAAAUUCGUAGAUAUCGGGAGGAAUACCAGUGGCGAAGGCGACCACCUAGCCAAAUACUGACGCUCAUGUGCGAAAGCGUGGGGAGCAAACAGGAUUAGAUACCCUGGUAGUCCACGCCGUAAACGAUGUCAACUAGGUGUUGGGACGGUUAAUCGUCUCAUUGCCGCAGCUAACGCAUUAAGUUGACCGCCUGGGGAGUACGGUCGCAAGAUUAAAACUUAAAGGAAUUGACGG
rnacentral:rRNA from 1 species